rnacentral:rRNA from 1 species
CGUAGGAGGCGAGCGUUAUCCGGAUUCACUGGGCGUAAAGCGCGUGCAGGUGGCUUGGUAAGUUAGGCGUGAAAUCUCCCGGCUCAACUGGGAGAGGUCGUCUAAUACUACCGGGCUUGAGAGCAGAAGAGGAAGAUGGAAUUCCCGGUGUAGUGGUGAAAUGCGUAGAUAUCGGGAGGAACACCAGUGGCGAAGGCGAUCUUCUGGUCUGUUUCUGACACUCAGACGCGACAGCUAGGGUAGUAAACGGGAUUAGAGACCCCGGUAAUCCUAGCCGUAAACGAUGUAAACUUGGCGUUGGUGGGUUAAACUCCAUCAGUGCCGCAGCAAACGCGAUAAGUUUACCGCCUGGGGACUACGGCCGCGAGGUUA